UACGUAGGGGGCAAGCGUUGUCCGGAAUCAUUGGGCGUAAAGAGCGUGUAGGCGGCCUUACAGGUCAGCUGUGAAAACUCGAGGCUCAACCUCGAGACGUCGGUUGAAACCGUAAGGCUAGAGUCCGGAAGAGGAGAGUGGAAUUCCCGGUGUAGCGGUGAAAUGCGCAGAUAUCGGGAAGAACACCCGUGGCGAAGGCGGCUCUGUGGGACGGUACUGACGCUGAGACGCGAAAGCGUGGGGAGCGAACAGG
rnacentral:rRNA from 1 species